UACAGGGGGUGCGAGCGUGAAUCGGACUUACGGGGCGUAAAGCGUGCGUAGGCGGCUUUUUAAGUCGGCUGUGAAAUCCCCGAGCUUAACUUGGGAAUUGCAGUCGAUACUGGGAAGCUAGAGAAUGGGAGAGGAUGGUAGAAUUCCAGGUGUAGCGGUGAAAUGCGUAGAGAUCUGGAGGAAUACCGAUGGCGAAGGCAGCCAUCUGGCCUAAUACUGACGCUGAGGUACGAAAGCAUGGGGCGCAAACAGG
rnacentral:misc_RNA from 1 species